rnacentral:lncRNA from 1 species
GGGAUGUAAGCAAAGCCUUUGACAGAUGGAAAAUUAACCAUAGAUGAAUUGUUGGAUUGUGGUAGAGAUGAAGAUGUAAGGGUAAAGGUGUCAUUUUGCGUUUGGCUAAGGCCUCAGGGGUAUUUUCGUCUGUUCAAGCCAAAAUAUGUUGAGUCAGACUGCCACGUCAGCUAAUCAGUGAUGUGGCAGUAAUUAACUGGGUUCAGGGACGAAAUUUUAAAUGAUUAAUGAUUGCAAGGCUAGUUUGCAAGGAUUAGCAAAUACAGGACCAAUUUUUAAACGGCCCCUAAUCGCAAGGAUCAAAUACAUAUUUAAGCUAUUAAAUUAAUAUAUCCAUUUUCAACUUGUGGUAAGUGUGUACCGGCUGAACUAAUGAACUGGUUCUGAGUUUCAUUUUGAAGGUACAUGUUGAGAUUGAACUCACUCUCCACGUGCAAUAAUCAUGUUCAAGUUCAACGGUGUAUUCUUUGCUUACGUGUUCGCACUUUCCACGUGAUUCAUUUUGCAUGGUGAUUCAUGAUGAUACUAAUAAUUCAUGCACAGUACGUUAUUUGAAAAUUAUUAUUGUUACGAACUCGUAUUCCAUGCAGCUGCUAGAAAAAUCAUUAAAUAAUAUGUACCAAACAAAAAUCAUUAAAUAUAACUCAGGCUGUCUAUUUUAGACGUUUGAUGAAAUAUGAUUAAUUAGGGAUGACAAUGAAGUGUGUUUACGCCUAAUCUUUUUUUUUUUUUUUUUUUUAAGUUGUUAGUCGAGUUCUUGCAGUAGCCAACUAAAAACUAUUGGAUACGAGUGCAGCAUAUCUUUCUCGUGUCUAUUAAGUCUCACGAAGAUCGUAGGAGUGUUAGAAUCCGUCAUAGAUACAUUUGUAAUUGAUAAUUUAGCUACAAAGUCUCGUGUUUUAUUUAAUUGAACUAAUGGAUAAUGAUUAUUUUUUCCGAAUAUGAUCAAAGAUUGAAAAAAUGUAUCGAUCAUGAAAGUGGAAUGCCCGAAAUAGGGAAAAGCCAAAUCAAAUGUGGGGCGCAAUAUACACCCAUCAACACACACCGACACACAUACCAUCCACAAGAAUAGCUUAAAACGAUAUUCAUCGCAAGAUUUCGUAGGCAACGAUGUUUGGCUAGUAGAAUACAAGCUCUGCCUAUAAAUAUUCAUUGUAAACAUCAUUUUUCACAUACACAAUCAAAUCAAUAAUUUUUCUCUCAAUUUAUUUUUUUCUUUAUGCUUUACAAAUCGAUAGAUAUAGUUUCUUCCUUAGCGUUAUUGUUUGAAGAAAAAUGAAUCAUAGAUGAGAGUUAUUAGUUGAAUCAUCGACUAACUUUUAAGUUUGAUAAUAGAGUAAAUUAUUAAUUUUGUUCUUGAAAUUAUAAUCGUUGAUCAUUUUUGUUUCUGAAAUUUGCGAGAUAACAAAAGCAUCUCUCAAAUUGAAGAAUGUUCAUUAAAAUUCAAUAUUAAAUUUUGUCAAUACAAAGUAUAUGAGGUGAUGCGUUAACUGUAAUGUGAUACUCUAUGGAUGUCAUAUUAAUGCCGCAUUCUUUCUUUCUAAUAAAAGAUCAAUUUUAAAAUAAGGUAAAAUAUAUUUAUGCAUGAGUGUACUUCUCUGCCGUUGAUGUUCAAAACAUGUUUCAAUGAGAGAACAUCUAAACAUUAAUCAUUUUUAUGCCUUCACUUGAAAAUAUUUCUCAAGAACUAAGGAUUAAAGUGAGAAGUAUUAUAUCUCAUCAAAUCAAAAUGAAUCUUAAGACUAAACGAGAGAUUGGGAAUCAACGGUAGUCAAAGUGAAACUACAUAGGUGUCUUAAGUUGAUUAUGAAACAACAGAACUAUUCAACUCAUAUAAUAGACAUGACAAUUUCAAACACUAAUCAAUGUAUCAAAGGUGGUGGAGAAAUCGAUAAAAGAUAGUGGACUAGAGAGCAUAUGCAAACGAGAAACAACUAUGAACAUAUAAUUUCAUCGUGUUUUGAGAGUCUACUUCAACAAACAAACAAAGAUCACAAACUCCCCAACAAAGUUGAGGUAAAUAAUAAUCCCCAAAGUUUUCAGCAAUAACGAUAACUAGAUUAAAUUUUGCAACAGUAAAAUAGUAAAUGGUCAAAUGAAUGUGAUGUUCGUGAUAUAUAUCUUAAAGGUGAAGAUAGUUUUCCUCUGGGAAUAUUAGAGCAUCCACAAUGGAGACAUUCCUUUUUGAGUAUUUAAAUGAGUUUCAUACUUAUUUAUAAUAUUUUAAUAGUAGUACAUAAUAAGCACUUAAUAUUUCCAAUCCAACAUCUCACACAAAUUUUGUAAAUGGGACUCACUAAUCAACUAUCAAUAACUUUAUAUCAUUACAUUUGUUAUGAAUACAAGUAAAUAGAGAUGGUAAUAAUAGAGAGAAUGAGAAGAAGAGAGAAUAGGAGCAGUAUUCUUAUUCACUGAUGUGUAUAUCAAUGUUACAAAUGAGCUCUAUUUAUAGGGAAAUAGAGUAGCUUAUGAAUUAAGCCCAAUAACCUAGUAGUAUGGCCCACUAACACAAUUGCUAUUUGGACAUCCACUAUUAAUAUUUAUAACACUCCCCCUUGGAUGUCCAUUGAGGAUAUGCCUCAUUAAAACCUUACUAUAGAGAAAACCUAAUAGGAGAAAAAUUCUAGUGAAGGAAAAAGAGUACAAUAUCCCUUUUGUGUAUGAUAAUCUGCCUCGUUAAAAACCUUACCAGAAAAACCCAAUGGGACAAAACCAUGGUUAAGGGAAAAAGAGUGCAUAACACAUUUAUGUCUCCCCCUCAUAAAGACAAUCAUAUAUGAGACGAAGAAAGUCAAAUAAUAUUUGUUCUAGUUACUCAAAAGUUUACUUGCAGCGACUUUGUUGAAAUAUCUGGUUUAUCUUCAUAGUCUUCUUCAAAUUAGUAGUGCUUGAGAAGUUUCUUCAUAUUGAGUUGUUGCAAGACCCCCUUUAAGAAAUCAACAAGUUUCUUGUACUUGUAAAAUCAUCAUCCUUGAUAAAAGAGCGUUCUUCACUUCCUUGAUUAUGUUGCUUCUUUAAGAUACAAAAUAUAUGCUUGACUUUGUUCUGAUAUCUGUAUUUACUAACAUUGGCAAACCAAAAUACCACAAUAAAUAUCAUUAACAAAAUACAUUGAUGUCCUCGUUUGAACUAAGAUAUGGUACUUCAGGACCAAUUCAAGUUGUUUAUCAUUUUCUUGAGGACAUGAUCUAUACUAAUAUCAAGUGACAUCACAAUCAUUAUAGUACACAGUCAACUAGAUGUGUCCAUAUCAAAUACAUUUGUUAUAUAAGUUUCUUGAUGCACAAAAUCUCAAUUAAAUAAUAAAUCUGCAAAUCCAAACAAACUUUGUGCAUGCAACAUAUUUAAUUUCAAAUAUUUCUAUAAUCAAUAGAUGUUAGAAUCUCUUCAGGAGUUCAAUAAUAUUUAUACCAUCAUCAUUAAAAUGAUUAUAACAAAUUCAUUUUCAAAGAUUUAGAAUGGACAUAUGAUGUCAUUUCUUCAAUAUCUCACGAAAAUUAAUUUUAUCGGAGAGUUUCAUAUACUCAUCACUAUCACGUGAGUCAUACAACUAUAUUGCAACACAUCUUUCAUAUAAAUUGAGCCUUUCAUGUAAUACUAAACUUAAUCAAGCAAGAAAAAGUUCUUGAAUUAACUUCAGGUAAAUAUGUCUCUUAAACAUAAACGUUAGACAUAUAUCAGCUCACUUCCGGUGAACAUAUCAAACUCUUUACAUAUGUAUUUUAUCAAUGUAAUUCUCUUUCGCGCGAAAAAUCUUAUAUAUCUAAUUAACUUCACAUCUUCAAGUGUGCGGACCACAAGUCCAAAAAGUUCGACUUUACAAAGCGAGUUUGAUUUCAUGUUUUAAUCCAUGAUCCUCGUUAACACUCAUCACAUAUAGCGCUAUGUUAUAAGCAAAAACAUCGUCAACGUUGACUUUAAAUUUUGUUCCACCUCAUUCCAUUCAUGACAUAAUUUAUCGAGAUCUCUUUAUUUUUCAUACAUCUCAGGUACCUGGUCGGUUCUUCUGGAACUUAAAAUCAAAUAUGUCAGAUGACUCUUUUAGAGUUUACACAUCCUUAUUUGGGUUAUCUUUAUUUUUAGCUCCUUUUAUUGUUUGAGGAUUUUAUAUGUGGAACUGAUUGGUCUACCACGCUUCAUGCGCAGUUGAGACUCAUUUGCAAUAAUCGACAGGGACAUCUAUUUCGAUUGGAGCAUUAGCAGCUGCUUAUUUUAUUUGUUUAACUUUGCAAACGAGUUAUAUUUUGAGGAUCAAGAUGAGACAAUAAUAUUUUCUUUCAAAUAAUUCAUUUGAACUUCAGGUUCACAUUUUCAGCUGCUUAUUCUCUCCCCCUAAUAUUGGGAAAACUAAUCAGCCUACUAGGCUGUAAACAAGUUGGCUCAAUACAAUUUAUAAUAGAUGAAGAUUCAUAUCAAAUAGAUUUUCCCAAUAUUCUAUCAUAUUCAAUCUAAGUGCAUUAUAUUGGAGUAAUUGUGAUAGACACAACACAUCCAAAAAUUUACUUAGGUGAGAAAUAUUAAGUUCUUAACCAAAAUAUAAAUUAUAAAAUAAGGGGAGGACUUACAUAUGGUAACUUGUUGGCUUGAUGCGAAUCAAUAUUUCAACAUAUUGGUUAUUCCCAAAGUAGAGUUUUGAAGGUAUGGUCUCAUAAGUAUAAAUCAUACAAUUAACUUUAGACGUCUAAAGAAUGGAUCUUCAAGUCCAUUUUAUGAGCAUAUGCUACAAGUUGUUUAAUAUCAAUUUCAAUUGAUAAAUGAUACUUAUCAAAUGUUUUUUUGAAAAGUUCAGAAAAUAAACUCUUUGUCAAAUUUGUUGACAAGAUAAUCGCACAAACUUCUGGUUUGUGGGUUAAUAAUAACCAUACAUGUCAUUUAGUUCAUCUACACUUUCGAUGUAUUGAUUCACAAAUAUCAACUUAUACGCAUUUACAUAUAUUGAGAGACCAAAAUUCUCAAAUUUUCUACUUUGAAAAAAUAGUUAAGACACAAAAAGUAUUUUAUUGAAAAAUCUUCUGGCUCUUCAAUACAAAUUCAUUAAAAUUUAUUUAUUUUUCGCAUCAUAACGAAUCCGGGAUAACCCAACCGGUAUUGCCAACUACAAACUUAAUAUAAUUUGUAAACUUCUGGUUUACAAUAAUAUGUGCUUCCGUUGCACUAAUAUAAGUGUAGUACAGAUCAGAGGAAAAUAACUUUUCCACAACACUUAUUUUCUUCAGAGUAUAUUUCACCGAAUAACAAAAGAAAAAAAAUCAUGCUCUUCAGAAGCCUUCAUUAAUCAUGUAGUUCUUGAGGAACUACAAGAUAAAUCAUUAUUUGAGCAAUCCUUCAGGGAUUGUUUAAUACACUCAAAAUGAGCAUUCUAAACAUGAUUUGUAAACUUCUGGUUUACAAUAUUACGUGUUUCAUUUGUUCUUAUCUAUUUGAAACAAUAAUAAACAAAAAAAAUAUAUCCGAGUGAAACAAUAUAAUAAAUAUUCUAAAUUUAUCUUUUGCAUUACCAUAGAUAGAAAUAUAGAUAAACGCAAAAUUUCUCCAAUAAACAAGACUUUAUAAAUCAUACCCAUUUCUCAGGUGAGUAAUAAAGCAACACAAACUGUCAAUAAGAUAUAUUUUCAAAGUUUGACAUAAGAGAAUAUGGAUAUCUCUCAUGUAAUAUUUACAAGAUAAAAAUCUUGUGGAAUAAGGAAGAAGAAAAUCUUAAUCAAAUAUAUUUUUGUUCAUAGAAUAAGAGAACAAUCUUGCAAGUUUAUGAAAGAAAACAAAGCAUAGAAGUUUAAAAUAAUACCUCAAACAAAAAUUCUUUGAUACUAAUUUUCAACUCAUCUAAGUUCAUACUAGUGGAAUUUUAUGACUUUGACAUGUAUCAUAUCAAUAGUAAUAUGUACUAAAUGAACUUCAAUAACCAAAGUGUUGGAUAUAUAAAACAAAUAGCAUGAAUCAUUCACUUCUGGAAAUGACGUUCAAUAUAUGAUGUGACAUUUCACUAUUUUAAUCAAUAACCACUUAUAAAUUUAACUAAUAUUUCAAAAAUAUUUUUUGAAGAUGUUUUCUUAAUUGUGCUACUUCAGGAGCAUAUUUGAGUGGUGUAUAAAUUAACAUAUUGUCUUUUUUUUUUCUCUCUCUUUUCCUUUUUUUUUUUUUUUUUCCGCAUCAAUGCGAAGAUCAAAUAGAUCUUUUAAACUUUAUCAUGAUCUAAAUGUAUAGUUCUUCGAGAACUCAUAUAUUCAUAGAUGUAUAUGUGUAGUUCUUCAGAAACUUACAAUCAAAUUUAUACAUCAAUAUAAAAAUAUCAGAUUUGUUAUGCAAAAGAAUUAGCUACCAAGAUUAAGAAAACAACCACUUUUUAGAUAUGCACUGACGUGCCAAACUGAAUCCAUAAUUUUAGCGAAAAAUAACUUAAGUUUUCAAAAUAAAACAAAAUUCUCUAACAAAUCCUUUCAAAAUUCUUUUAACACAUUAAAAAGACUUAAGAUACAAUCAAAAUAUAGCAUUACUUGUAAUCAUAGUUAUUCUAAAAUAACAGAUUUUCCUUAGCAAAAUGUAUUUCCUUUUGUAUUUAUCUUCGGCCAAUCAUGUCAUUUAAUCAAAUUAAACUCUUGGUAAUUGAAGGCAAUAAUGAAUCAUAAAUCGUAACUGAACUGGUUCCAUCAAAGUCGCUUAUUUUGUUAUAAGAACUUGAUUGCAUCAUUAUUAGUUUGUUAAUAGAAAAGCAAAUGGUGCUAUUUAUGCUAUUUAAAUGCAAGAAGAAACACAUGUAUGAUGUCAUGUCCUUUUAAUUUAAAAAAUAAAGAGUAUAAUUAAUUAUAAGAUAAUUACUACAAAAUAAGUGAUGCUAUUUCUUAGGUGAUAAGUGUAACACAUGAUGACUAAUGACUACAUGUUCUUCAAUUUAAAAAAAAUAGAAGUAUACUUCUCAUAAUUAGUUGAGAAAAAUGCUACACGUUAAGGUUAUAGUUCCAUAUUUAUCGGAUAAAAAAANNNNNNNNNNNNNNNNNNNNNNNNNNNNNNNNNNNNNNNNNNNNNNNNNNNNNNNNNNNNNNNNNNNNNNNNNNNNNNNNNNNNNNNNNNNNNNNNNNNNAAGCUUUAUUCUUCUCAUCCAACAUUCGGCUCCAUGAAAACUAUUGCAGAUAUGGAAAGUAUGACUUUUGUUCAUUUUGAUGAUUUUAGAGAGAAUGGAAAGUAUGAUUUUUGUUCCUGCAUUCAUAAACAAACCAAUUCAUACAUAGCCUUAAACCAUUUCCCAGAUUAUGAAUUAUGUGGUAUAGUGCCAACUUAGUCGCACCUCUGUGAUCCUCUACGAAGCGGCGAACUUCAUCCAACCAUUUCCCAGAAAAACCCUUUGAUUUUGCAUUCGGAGAUAGAAUAUGCCACCUUUCCAACUGGGUAUUGACGAUAACGAUUUGAUUCGCCGGCGCCGCCGUGGUAGGUGGUAGGUUUUGUGGCUCCGAAUUGAAGGUGGAGCUACGUGAUGCGUGUUUAACAACAUUUUUGAGGAAUUUAUUGGAAUUGAAGAAACCCUAGAAAUUGAAUUUGGGGAAAAACGAUGAAUGAAGAUGAAGCAUGGAAACGAAAAUGCGGAAACUGAGUUGCGUUAUGUUUUGUUCUGAUUGUUCCUUCUUCCUUUCUUCAGUAACUACAUCAAUUAUCAAUUAUUAAAUUAAAAUAAAAAUUGAUAAAUAAGAAAGUGGAAAAUUAUGAAAAGGGAAAGGGAAACAAUUAGAUGUUUAGCUGUUUGUAUUGUUGUUAUAAUUGAUCAAAAAUGAUCUUUAGCUGUGUUGGGAUGUAAGCAAAGCCUUUGACAGAUGGAAAAUUAACCAUAGAUGAAUUGUUGGAUUGUGGUAGAGAUGAAGAUGUAAGGGUAAAGGUGUCAUUUUGCGUUUGGCUAAGGCCUCAGGGGUAUUUUCGUCUGUUCAAGCCAAAAUAUGUUGAGUCAGACUGCCACGUCAGCUAAUCAGUGAUGUGGCAGUAAUUAACUGGGUUCAGGGACGAAAUUUUAAAUGAUUAAUGAUUGCAAGGCUAGUUUGCAAGGAUUAGCAAAUACAGGACCAAUUUUUAAACG